rnacentral:misc_RNA from 1 species
AACUCUCAAUCGAAACACUUUAUUGUUGUUUUCUCGAUUGGAUUUGACUCUUGCCGCGUCUUGCGAUGCGGCUGGGUCUAAACAUAUUAGCUGGCUCUUUCGAGUCUUGGUUCUACUCGGCGUGAUAAUUAUCUAACGUCGAGGACAUUUCCUUAUGGGAAUGGCCAGUACUUUGUGAAGAACUGCUUAUAGUCGUCUUUUACUAGACAAACUAAACUUCUAU